GAUUCGCUUUCCGAACUGUCACCGUAUGGUGCGCGUGUCUGGGACAACCAGAAUAGGAGGCGAAUUUUUA
rnacentral:sRNA from 12 species